rnacentral:rRNA from 1 species
UACGUAGGGGGCAAGCGUUGUCCGGAUUUAUUGGGCGUAAAGAGCGUGUAGGCGGCCAAGCAGGUCAGCUGUGAAAACUCGAGGCUCAACCUCGAGACGUCGGUUGAAACCGCUUGGCUAGAGUCCGGAAGAGGAGAGUGGAAUUCCCGGUGUAGCGGUGAAAUGCGCAGAUAUCGGGAAGAACACCCGUGGCGAAGGCGGCUCUCUGGGACGGUAUUGACGCUGAGACGCGAAAGCGUGGGGAGCGAACAGG